rnacentral:rRNA from 1 species
CCUACGGGGGGCAGCAGUCGAGAAUCAUUCACAAUGGGGGAAACCCUGAUGGUGCGACGCCGCGUGGGGGAAUGAAGGUCUUCGGAUUGUAAACCCCUGUCAUGUGGGAGCAAAUUAAAAAGAUAGUACCACAAGAGGAAGAGACGGCUAACUCUGUGCCAGCAGCCGCGGUAAUAAAGAGGUCUCAAGCGUUGUUCGGAAUGACUGGGCGUAAAGGGUGCGUAGGCUGUUUCGUAAGUCGUGUGUGAAAGGCGCGGGCUCAACCCGCGGACGGCACAUGAUACUGCGAGACUAGAGUAAUGGAGGGGGAACCGGAAUUCUCGGUGUAGCAGGGAAAUGCGUAGAUAUCGAGAGGAACACUCGUGGCGAAGGCGGGUUCCUGGACAUUAACUGACGCUGAGGCACGAAGGCCAGGGGAGCGAAAGGGAUUAGAUACCCCGGUAGUC